GGGGGUGCCAUGGCUUCGACAGGGAACUGCGAGGUUUAAUUUGCGUGUCUGGGUUGAUCUCCCGGCCCAGUAAAAAGGAGAUCAAACUAUAAUUGCUGAAUCAAAUGAUUUUGCACCAGCGAUGGCCGCUUAAUUAGCGAAUCCAUUACUUGAGGGGCAUGUCCCAAUAAACAGAAUCAUGCAAGCAGGUUGAGGCGGCCUGUAAACUUGUCUUCUAGGAGUAGUCAGGUCUACCUAGUUAAAAAAUCACUGAGGUUUGCUGGGGGUACAAAACCAGACAGCCUUGUUCCAUGGCGAUAAUCUGGAACUACACACGUAGUAGGUUAUUCUGAGAGUUCUUUGGACGUGGGUUCGAUUCCCACCACCUCCACCA
rnacentral:tmRNA from 1 species